rnacentral:lncRNA from 1 species
GAACUCCUGACUUCAGGUGAUCCGCCCACCUCAGCCCCCCAAAGUGUUGAGAUGGAAACAAACUAAACAAAUUAUCAAUAACACUGACAUUAGUAAAAUUUUAAAGACACCUUUUGUCCUAUACAGUCUCAUAAUUUGAUAUGAUUAACUUAUACAUUUGACUUUGAAUCAGACCUACCAAACUUUGAGGAAAUAGUGGUUCCAGGCUUGAAUAAAAAAGGUCCCAUAUAUUUUGUAAAGUUAGUGUAUUCUUGGUUUCC